rnacentral:tRNA from 1 species
AUAAGCAUAAUUAAAAUAUAAUACUAGAAUGUGACUCUAACAUCGAAAGUUAAAAUCUUUCUACUUAUC